rnacentral:rRNA from 1 species
UACGGGGGGGGCAAGCGUUGUUCGGAAUUACUGGGCGUAAAGGGCGCGUAGGCGGCCUGCUAAGUCGGACGUGAAAUCCCCCGGCUCAACCGGGGAACUGCGUCCGAUACUGGUGGGCUCGAAUCCGGGAGAGGGAUGUGGAAUUCCAGGUGUAGCGGUGAAAUGCGCAGAUAUCAGGAGGAACACCGGUGGCGAAGGCGGGUCUCUGGGCCGGAACUGACGCUAAGGAGCGAAAGCGUGGGGAGCGAACAGG